GACGGACGCUGGCGGCGUGCUUAACACAUGCAAGUCGAACGGAAAGGCCCUGCUUUUGUGGGGUGCUCGAGUGGCGAACGGGUGAGUAACACGUGAGUAACCUGCCCUUGACUUUGGGAUAACUUCAGGAAACUGGGGCUAAUACCGGAUAGGAGCUCCUGCUGCAUGGUGGGGGUUGGAAAGUUUCGGCGGUUGGGGAUGGACUCGCGGCUUAUCAGCUUGUUGGUGGGGUAGUGGCUUACCAAGGCUUUGACGGGUAGCCGGCCUGAGAGGGUGACCGGCCGCAUUGGGACUGAGAUACGGCCCAGACUCCUACGGGAGGCAGCAGUGGGGAAUAUUGCACAAUGGGCGGAAGCCUGAUGCAGCAACGCCGCGUGCGGGAUGACGGCCUUCGGGUUGUAAACCGCUUUCGCCUGUGACGAAGCGUGAGUGACGGUAAUGGGUAAAGAAGCACCGGCUAACUACGUG
rnacentral:rRNA from 1 species